rnacentral:rRNA from 1 species
UACGUAGGGACCGAGCGUUGUCCGGAAUCAUUGGGCGUAAAGAGCGUGUAGGCGGCCCUUUAAGUCCUGCGUGAAAUCCUGCGGCUCAACCGCAGACGGUCGUGGGAAACUGGAGGGCUAGAGUGCGGGAGAGGAGAGUGGAAUUCCCGGUGUAGCGGUGAAAUGCGCAGAUAUCAGGAAGAACACCAAUGGCGAAGGCAGCUCUCUGGGACGGUACUGACGCUGAGACGCGAAAGCGUGGGGAGCGAACAGG